GUUCCAGUUAGCAUGAGGUGUGUGACUAUGCUUUACGGUUUCUUUCUUUCAGAGGUGUCCGUGAGCAUGUUCAUCUUAGCACCUGUGAACAUUUGACAGUUUAAGUUGAACAUGCAAAGCUGUGUGGGGGAAAAAAAAUAAAAAAUAGUACGGGAAGAAUAUUUAAGGAAAAUUAAAGACAUGCAAAAAAUAAUUGUGGGAACUCUGUGAAAAUAUACUUUAGAAUUGAAUGGAUAACGAUUGGAUUUUGGAUGUUAAAAGAAUCCAUUUGAUAAA